UACGUAGGCAGCGAGCGUUGUUCGGAGUUACUGGGCGUAAAGCGUGCUUAGGCGGUGUCUUAAGUUUGUUGUGAAAUCUCCCGGCUUAACCGGGAGGGUGCGGCGAAUACUGAGAUGCUGGAGUGCCGGAGAGGUAAGCGGAAUUCCUGGUGUAGCGGUGAAAUGCGUAGAUAUCAGGAGGAACACCUGCGGUGUAGACGGCUUACUGGACGGUAACUGACGCUGAGGCACGAAAGCGUGGGUAGCAAACAGG
rnacentral:rRNA from 1 species